UUGUGUGUAGGCGCAGUUUUCAAUUGUAAACCGUGUAUUAAUUAUUUAUUUUGGAAAACGAGAAAAUAAUUAUUGAAGUUCACCGGGUGAAUUAACUGAUAUAUUUAAUUCAAUAUAUAUUAUUUUGAGUCAUUGGAGAAAUUUUGAAAGUCAAUGGAAUAAUACUGACUUACUUGAAUAGUGACAUACACCCAUGCAAGACCGUACAUGAUCAAGUUUGAUGAUAUAUGAUUAUUUAUAAUCAACGCUAGAAGUCAUUUGAUCUUUAAUACGAGAGACAGAAAGUCACGGAUAAUCAUGCAUUACCCUUCAUGAUCAUACAUGGCCGCGUAAGAGUAAUGUGAAUACUUUGGUAUCAGUCAUAAAGGUUCACGCAGGGGAUUGUUUGUCUUUGAAUGUACAUGUAUAUAUGUGCUAACGCUGCAAAAAGGAGUUGGGAUAUCGUAGAAAAGUCAGUUGAGCAGACCGAGGUGUUGGAGGUGGAUAAGCGUAACAAAUAAGGAGUGGCUUUCCUUCGAAUCUACAACAUAUAUACAUGUAUUUAUACAAAAUUUUAUAAAGAAAGUAUGUUUUUUUAACAUUCUAGAAUCACUUUUAUAAGAAUGAUUAGGCAUUAUUCUUUUUGUUAAACUAUUUCAACAA